CCCUUGGUAGUGAAAACGGUUAACACCCUCAGCUACUAACUGAAAGUGUUGUAGGUUCUAGUCCACCUAAGGGU
rnacentral:tRNA from 1 species